rnacentral:misc_RNA from 1 species
CGCACAUCGCGCCCUUUGGCAUUCCGAGGGGCAUGCCUGUUCGAGCGUCAUUACACCAUUCAAGCCUGGCUUGGUAUUGGGCGAGGAGGCUCCCUCCUGCCCCAAUUUCCACCGGCUGGACCGUCCGCAUCUCAGCGUUGUGGUAUUCAAUUCGCUGGCGAGAAGGAUGGCUCACGCCGUUAAACAUUCAUUAAGGUUGACCUCGGAUCAGGUAGGGAUACCCGCUGAACUUAA